rnacentral:tRNA from 1 species
UCCCUGCUGGUUUGGACGGUAGAGCAUCCGUCUGCAAUGCGGGAGACCCAGGUUUGAUCCCUGCGUCGGGAA